AACGCACAUUGCGCCCCUUGGUAUUCCGAGGGGCAUGCCUGUUCGAGCGUCAUUACACCACUCAAGCACUGCUUGGUAUUGGGCACCCGUCCGCCGAAAGGCGGGCGUGCCUCGAAGACCUCGGCGGGGUCUAAUCGGCUUCGGGCGUAGUAGAGUUAAAUCAAAGCGUCUUAUAAGUCUGGUUAGAACCCAUUGCCGUAAAACCUUUUAUUUUCUAGGUUGACCUCGGAUCAGGUAGGGAUACCCGCUGAACUUAA
rnacentral:misc_RNA from 1 species